CUCUGUUUGUUGCAUCACUCUGGUUGUCUAGGAGAUUAGCCCAGAUUAGGAACUGGGUGGAGCAAAGUGGAUCAGAUGAGCUCACGGACAACACUGUUGCUGUUUGCACGGGGGACCUUAGUAACCGGCCAGAAAGCGCUUGGCCCAAAUCUUGUUCCUCCUGAAUUCGGGCACAUGGACAGGGGCUCCUGGGAGAACUGAGCAUGGGUUAUGGGCUCAGACAGUCCCACGUUCAAAUUCCAACUCUGCUUCCUACUUCCUGUGUGACUUUGGGCAGAUUGCUUCUCUUGUGAUUUCCCAUUUUCCUCCAGUUGAGGAUACUACCCACCUCUGGGACUUCUAAGGACUUAGUGAUAAGCAGGUGGAUGAAUGUUGUAAAGUGACCACACCUGGACAGAGAAGACUCAUGUGACAGAGGACAUCAGAGUAUGUACAAUGCCUGGUGACCGGCUGAUAAGAAGGGGUCCCAAGAGGAGAUGGCUUGUCACAUUGCAGGGGGCCAUGUGGAGAAGCACCAGAGGCCGUUAAGAGGCAGAGGGAAUGGGGAAAUGUGAGCAGGAGUUUUCCCUGUGGUCUCUGCAGGAAGGAACAGGUGACGGACUCACUGAAGCCACCCUUACAUUUUCUUUGUCGAGAGAAAGGCAGCACGAGAUGAGAUGACUGGAGCUGCUGCAGCCAUCUUGCAAACAUGAGGACAGAUCUUGUAGACCUGUCAGAGAUGGCAGAGGAAGAUCUCUGGGCUCUUCGUGGCAUAAGAACUGAAAAAAUAGCUCUGAAAUCACUCACCCCUAGACGUCUUACAAAGUUAGACACAGAUGUUUAUGUCAUUUAAACCACUCCUCGUUGGGUAUCACUGCUU